rnacentral:rRNA from 1 species
CGGGCUUGAAUUACAUAAGUAGUUAUUAGAGACAAUAAUUUCCUUUCGGGGACUUAUGUGAAGGUGCUGCAUGGUU